UGUAUACAUCAACACUCCCCCACACGUGCAGGUCCAGAUCCCAUGGUCCUUGCACAUGGAGCUCACACAGCAUUUCCUUCGCACAGCACUGAGGGAGAAGAAAUGUUAGAAAAACUCUUCCGAUGCACUUCCCAAGAGUCGAACACUAGACCUCCCCUACCCUAAUACCAUGUUCGCUACCGUUUCACCUAAAAGCUCUAACUGUUAGGGAAGGGCAGCAUCAAUGUAUACAUCAACAAAGGGAAGCAAAAUAAAAACACAUGAAU